GCUUGAUAGAUGGCAGUACCAAGUAGACCAGACCUGAAAUUAUGAAUAUGCAUGGAUACGAUCACAUUGAUUACAUAUUUUGUAUCUCAACUUAACUCAUGGAAAUAGUCAUUUCAUCCGUAUUUAGUGCAAUUUCUCUAAACGUAAAAGGCCAAAGUACCUCGUUUCUCGUCGUUCCCGUGGUUUAGAUAAUAUAGUCACGUGGUGCAGAAUUUAAAUUUUCAGACGAAAAAAAUGGAAGAAACUUUAGAAAAUGUGUCCAAGAGAAUUAAAGAGAAAGAGGAAAUACUAAGAAAGCUCAAAAUGAUUAAAUUACACAGAAUAAAGCAUAGUACUGAUCAACUUGAAAGCCUUAUAAAAGAAUGGACAGGAAUCUGCCAACAAGCUCUUCAAGACCUACAACAGAAGUUGGCAGAUCAGGGAUCUGACUCAGCAGCCAUUGGCAUUCCAGAACUUCUCAGGCAUUUAAAUAUUGAACCAGAGCUUGUUGGCUACUGUAUUGAAGACGAGGCAUUCGUAAACUGAAUGUAUAUUCAAUCCCUUCAAGUAUUAUAUAAUGCCGCCACUGAUACUCGUAAGAAGUUUGCCAUAUUCUUUGAAAAUCUUAUUUUCAUCUUUCUAGUAAAAUGUUCAGCAUAGUCAAGCAUUAGCUUGUUAUCUUGAAGUGGUUUUGUUUAAUAAUGUCUCAACUUUGGUUUAUUCUUCAUUUUAUUCUUGGAGUAUUACCAAGUGAAUUUAAAUAAGAGAGAAGUUUUAAGACCUCAAAACCAUACUGUAUAGAAAAUGGUUAAGUUGAAAUAGUGUAGGUAGUAAUGCCCCCUUGUCAGCAAGAUGGAUGUCUUCUUUGUAUAUGAUAAACGAGCAGAAGCGUAGGAUUGUCUUGUACGGACCAUACAUAUGGCCUCCGCCCCUGCUGACGAAAUGUUCACCAUAGGACAGUUAACCUCUGACCGGUUCUAUUAAAUUUUUUGGAGACCUAAAUCACCCUCUUGUAGAUCAUACUACGUACGGCGUAUUUGUAUGCGUCUAAAAGUUGAAAGAGCAAUACGUGCACAGAAAUUCU